rnacentral:rRNA from 1 species
GGAGUUUGGUCCGUGUCUCAGUACCAAUGUGGGGGACCUUCCUCUCAGAACCCCUACUGAUCGUCGCCUCGGUGGGCCGUUACCCCGCCGACAAGCUAAUCAGACGCAUCCCCAUCCCACAGCGAUAAAUCUUUACUCCUCAUUAGAUGCCCGCAAAGGAGAACAUAGGGCAUUAAUCCGACUUUCGCCGGGCUAUCCCCUACUAGGGGAAGGUUGGAUACGCGUUACUCACCCGUGCGCCGGUCGCCAUCGGCCUUAGCAAGCUAAGACCAUGCUGCCCCUCGACUUGCAUGUGUUAAGCCUGUAGCUAGCGUUCAUC